UUAAUAACCGUUCGGUUGAGAAAAUCCAAUAACCGUUCGGAUUCGGUUCGGUUCGGUUAUUAACCGAAUAACCGUGGUUAUCCGAUCGGUUAUCAGCUUUUUUUUAAUUGUUUUAUCUUUUAUCUAGGGUUAGGUUAAUUAUUUUACUGUCACUUUUACUUUUUCACUUUUCAACAUCUCUCUCUCCUCCAGACUUGCGAAUCGCAAGUUGCGAUUGUCUUCCUUCGACUGCGGUGAGACGCCGUCACCAUCGCCGUCUUCCCUCCGCCGUCAAAGAUCGUCGCCGUCUUCCCUCCAUCGUUGGUGGUGGAUCUCUAUCAUGGCGUCUCCGUCUCCACAGGUUCGUUGCCUCGCAGCCGCAGUCUUUGUAUCAAAUUUGUUUAUUAGUUUGGCUCUCUCAGGCUCUGCCAUGGCUCCGUCCGUCUCUGUCAGUCUCUAUCGAGAUUCUGUUUUUAGUGUAUUUCGGUGUCUUUCGGUGUGUUUCGACUUUCGACUUUCAUUUGUUUUAUCGAUUCUAUCGAAUCUGUUAUUGAUUAAUUAGUAUCGUUUGGUAUGAUAUGUUUUGUAGUGAAGUUUGUUUGUGAAGAUUUUCAGAUUUGAGAGA